CGUGUCCCACGGAGGGGCAGGAGAGCUCGGUAUCUCUCAGCCCACUGCCAUCUCUCCGUGGCUGAGGGCUGUUCUGGAUUUAACCCCCAGCCUCUCUGGGCUGCCCUGUCCACAGGCCAGGCUGGCUCCUGGGGCACCGAGAAACGCCCGAGGCGGAGAGCAGAAAUACGGGUGGUUGAGGUGGGAAGCAGUGAGUGUGUGACUUGGAGGUGGCCAAGGACACCUGCUGCCCUGCCCUUGACCCACCCCUCCAUCUCCAUCUCGAAGUUCGCUCCCCUGCGACUGCUCAUUGCAGACCCCUGUAGACUGGCUGAUGCUCCCAUCUCCCCCCCCCCGCCCCCCCCCGUUCUCCUCUCCACUGCAGAUGGUCCUUCCCCUCCUCCCUCUGGAUGGCUUCUGCCAAGAGCGCUUCCACCAGCAUCGGCCAAGACCAAAGUCACUUCUCCAGCCUCAUCCUGUUUGGCCUCUUGGGCCAUUCCCCGGAAAACACCCUCUCUUGGCUUCUCCGACCUCACUCUCCUCCCCCCCUCCCCUCUCACUGACCGCUGUUUCUCGACCCCCUUGCUGUCCUCUAAUUGUGGGGUGCCCCAGGGCCCUGGGCCCCUUCUCUUCUCCUUCUACCUUUCUCCAGGUGAUCUCACCUGUAGGCAAUGCCUCUCCAGCCCUGAAGGCCCCCAAGAUUCCAGACUUGCAAUUGUCCAGCUCUGUACAGGAAGUUUCCCCCUGAUCACCCGAAUUCCACGUGGCCGGCACAGGACUCCCCGCCCCCUCCAUUGCUUGCCCCUCCCUGGGCUCCACUUCAGUAAAUGGCUCCAGCAGCCACCAGGCUGCACAACCCACAGUCUGGGGGCUAUCCUCCAUUCCUCUCUCCCUCGCUGCACCCGAGUCCUAGCCAUGAGGAGUCCUGGCACCUUCAAAGCACAGCCCAGACCAUCCCCCGACUCUUGCCGCCUCCCCGGCCCUGGCCCUGGCCACUCUGUCUCUCUCCUGCAAUGGCUCUCUGUCCCCCCAGGCCGAGGCCCAGCGCCGCUCAGAGGCUCUGCACCUGCGAUUCUCUGUGCCCACAACACUCCUCCCCUGAUUUCAACUGUCUUCUCCUUGACGUUCACGUCACGGCUCAAAUCACACCUCUUCAGGGAGGCCUCCCGGACCACUGCUUCAAAUGUCCCCAUCCACACCCCGCAGUUUGAGUUCUCUGCUCUGGUUAUUGGGGCAGUUUUCCCAUUUAUGAGCUUAUUGUCCACUGCCCCAGCCUGCACACACGCGUGUGUGCACACACACGCUAGAAUGUAG
rnacentral:lncRNA from 1 species